GCACACUGCUGUGCAUGGGUUCGCCCAUCGGACGGCGCGACGCGGUCCCUGAGUAGGGCCGGGCACGUGAAACCCGGUCCGAACCUGGGUGGACCACCAUCCAAGCCUGAGUACUACCCUGUGACCGAUAGCGCACCAGUACCGUGAGGGAAAGGUGAAAAGCACCCCGGGAGGGGAGUGAAACAGUACCUGAAACCGUGCGCCCACGAGCAGUCGGAGCAACUUUCAAGUUGUGACGGCGUGCCUUUUGUAGAAUGAGCCAGCGAGUCGCUGGCGCGGGGCGAGGUUAACCGAAAGGGAGCCGGAGCGAAAGCGAGCCUUAACAGGGCGACUUGAGUCCCGCGCCGCGGACGCGAAGCCGGGUGAGCUAUCCGUGGGCAGGCUGAAGCGGGGGUAAGACCCCGUGGAGGGCCGAACGCACGUCGGUUGAAAACGGCGGCGAUGACCUGCGGAUAGGGGUGAAAGGCCAAUCAAACCCGGAGAUAUCUCGUUCUCCCCGAAAUAGCUUUAGGGCUAGCGUCGCGCGUUCACCGCCGGAGGUAGAGCACCGGAUGGACGAGGGGGCUUCGCCGCCUACCGAAUCCAACCGAACUCCGAAUGCCGGCGGCCCAGAGCGCGGCAGUCAGAGCAUGUGGGCUAAGCUGUGUGCUCGAGAGGGAAACAGCCCGGACCGCCCGCUAAGGUCCCCAAGUUCCAGCCGAGUGGCAAAGGAUGUGCGUCCGCCCAGACAACCAGGAUGUUGGCUUAGAAGCAGCCAUGCAUUCAAAGAGUGCGUAACAGCUCACUGGUCGAGUGGACAUGCGCCGACAAUACACGGGGCUAAGCUGGACACCGAAGCGGCGGGAUUUUACCUAAGUAGAAUCGGUAGGGGAGCUUCCCAUGGGCGGAGAAGCCGGAGGGCGACCGACGGUGGAGCGCAUGGGAGUGAGAAUGCUGGCAUGAGUAGCGAGAGACGAGAGAGUAACUCGUCCGCCGUGAACCCGAGGUUUCCUGGGCAAGGCUAAUCCUCCCAGGGUCAGUCGGGGGCUAAGGCGAGGCCGGUAGGCGUAGCCGACGCGCAGCAGGCAGACAUUCCUGCACCGCGCACGCGGCGCUACGACCGACGGGGCGACGGAUGGGGGUGGCUCGGCGGGGUUCUGGACGUCCCCGUGAUGGAGCGCGGCCCGCGGACCAGGGAAAUCCGGUCCGCACGAGGGCGAGGCUCCGGACGAAGCGAUUGAGCGAAGCGAGUGAGCCCGAGGUCCCUAGAAAAACCCCUAGGCAGGCGCGUGCGCGCCCGUACCGCAAACCGACACAGGUGGGUGGGUAGAGCAUACCGAGGCGAUCGGGAGAACCAUGGUUAAGGAACUCGGCAAAAUAGCCCCGUAACUUCGGGAGAAGGGGUGCCAUCGAAAGAUGGCCGCAGUGAAGAGGCUCAAGCAACUGUUUAGCAAAAACACAGGUCUAUGCGAAACCGAAAGGUGAGGUAUAUGGGCUGACGCCUGCCCGGUGCUGGAAGGUUAAGAGGAGAGGUUAGCGCAAGCGAAGCUUUGAAUUUAAGCCCCAGUAAACGGCGGCCGUAACUAUAACGGUCCUAAGGUAGCGAAAUUCCUUGUCGGGUAAGUUCCGACCUGCACGAAAGGCGUAACGACUUGGACGCUGUCUCAACCAUGGGCCCGGUGAAAUUGCACUAGUCGUGAAGAUGCGACUUACCCGCGGAAGGACGGAAAGACCCCGUGAACCUUUACUGCAGCUUGGCAUUGGCUGCCGGGGCGCCGUGUAGAGGAUAGGUGGGAGACCGCGAUGCGGGGGCGCCAGCCCCCGCGGAGUCGCCCUUGGAAUACCACCCUCGGCGCCUUGGCAUCCUAACCUGCGGCCGUGACCCGGCGCAGGGACCGUGCCAGGUGGGUAGUUUGACUGGGGCGGUCGCCUCCCAAAAUGUAACGGAGGCAUGCAAAGGUUCCCUCAGGCUGAUUGGAAACCAGCCGUCGAGUGCAAACGCAAAAGGGAGCUUGACUGCAAGAGAGACAUCUCGAGCAGGUACGAAAGUAGGUGUUAGUGAUCCGGUGAUCCCGAAUGGAAGGGUCAUCGCUCAUUGGAUAAAAGGUACGCCGGGGAUAACAGGCUGAUCGCAUCCAAGAGUUCACAUCGACGAUGCGGUUUGGCACCUCGAUGUCGGCUCAUCACAUCCUGGGGCUGAAGCAGGUCCCAAGGGUACGGCUGUUCGCCGUUUAAAGUGGUACGCGAGCUGGGUUUAAAACGUCGUGAGACAGUUUGGUCCCUAUCUUCUGUGGGCGUAGGAGAAUUGAAAGGGCCUGUCCCUAGUACGAGAGGACCGGGAUGGACACACCACUGGUGGACCUGUUGUCGUGCCAACGGCACAGCAGGGUAGCUAUGUGUGGAAGGGAUAACCGCUGAAAGCAUCUAAGCGGGAAGCCUGCCUUAAGAUAAGUUCUCCCUGACGCAAGUCCUGAAGGGCCGAGGUAGACGACCUCGUUGAUAGGCUGGAGGUGGAAGCCCUGUGAGGGGUGGAGCUGACCAGUACUAAUAGCCCGUGCGUCUUGUUU
rnacentral:rRNA from 1 species